GAAUGGGGAACCUGGACAGCUCCAGCAAUCUUACUGCAGAAGGUGCUUCUGGGUGGAUCCCAGGCAGAGGAAUCAGAGGCAAAACAUGGAGGGAGUGAACUCCUGAAAUCACUUGGGUUCUGAAUCCAGCCAAGCCCGAAACCAGCCCUGCCCUGGGCUUUUCAGGUCAACCUACUGCCUGCCCAGGGCCAUCAAUAAUAAAUGUCCACAGACAGCUGAAGGACAUUAAAGACAGAUGGUGAUGGAUCAGAGCACUCAUCAGCCACUGGGUGUAGACUGUAUAAAAAGCUGAGCCCAGAGGCCACCAUGAUCAACCUGCAACCUGGCAAGAAAUGGACUCAACUCCACAGACAGCAGUUGUCAGGGAGCCCAGGGUCACCCUAAAAUUCAUAUGUUGGAAUCUAAGACCCAAUGUGUGAGUAUUAAGAAGUGGGGCCUUUAGAAGGCAAUGAAGCCAUCCCUCAUGAAUGAGACCAGUACCUUAUAAAAGGGCCCCAGGGAACCAUCUAGGUCCUUUUUGCCUUUCUGCCUCCAGACAUGUAAGGAUGCGGCAAAGGCCCUCGCCAGAUGCUGAAUGCGGAUGCCGUCAUCUUGGACUUCCUAGCUUCCAGAACGGGCUGCACUGACACCCGUGGAUAUGUCCCUUUUGUGCAAAUGUGGAUUUCUCUAAAGGAGAAUGUACUGAGAGAUGCUACAUCACUCUCUGAAGUGGCCACUUGGACCAAUUAGCAUCUCCAGUGAUGGUACAGCGUGCCCAUUCCUCUACGUCCUCACCAACACUAGGUAUGAGCAUGCUUAUUAAUGGUCCUAAGCUGACGUAAGUGAUGUGUGUGUAUGUCACUGCUGUUUCAUUUUGAAAUGUGCUUAUUUGUGUGAGAGGUUGAGAAUAUUUUCAUGUUGACGGAUCAUGAAAUAUUCCCCCUCAAGGAAUUUCCUAUUUAUAUUAUUUUCCCCAUCUUUCUAUUGAGUUUGUCUUUUAAAUAGGGAUUCUUUUUACAUUCUGGUUACUGAUAUUUU
rnacentral:lncRNA from 1 species